GGAUGUGAUCAUACUAUCACUUACCCACCGGAUCCCAUCAGAACUCUGAAAUUAAGCGUGGUUAGGCGAGAGUAGUACUAGGAUGGGUGACCCCCUGGGAAUUCCUCGUGUUGCAUCCU